rnacentral:rRNA from 2 species
AGUCGAACGGUGAACACGGAGCUUGCUCUGUGGGAUCAGUGGCGAACGGGUGAGUAACACGUGAGCAACCUGCCCCUGACUCUGGGAUAAGCGCUGGAAACGGCGUCUAAUACUGGAUACGAACCAUGAAGGCAUCUUCAGUGGUUGGAAAGAUUUAUUGGUUGGGGAUGGGCUCGCGGCCUAUCAGCUUGUUGGUGAGGUAAUGGCUCACCAAGGCGUCGACGGGUAGCCGGCCUGAGAGGGUGACCGGCCACACUGGGACUGAGACACGGCCCAGACUCCUACGGGAGGCAGCAGUGGGGAAUAUUGCACAAUGGGCGCAAGCCUGAUGCAGCAACGCCGCGUGAGGGAUGACGGCCUUCGGGUUGUAAACCUCUUUUAGCAGGGAAGAAGCGAAAGUGACGGUACCUGCAGAAAAAGCGCCGGCUAACUACGUGCCAGCAGCCGCGGUAAUACGUAGGGCGCAAGCGUUAUCCGGAAUUAUUGGGCGUAAAGAGCUCGUAGGCGGUUUGUCGCGUCUGCUGUGAAAUCCGGAGGCUCAACCUCCGGCCUGCAGUGGGUACGGGCAGACUAGAGUGCGGUAGGGGAGAUUGGAAUUCCUGGUGUAGCGGUGGAAUGCGCAGAUAUCAGGAGGAACACCGAUGGCGAAGGCAGAUCUCUGGGCCGUAACUGACGCUGAGGAGCGAAAGGGUGGGGAGCAAACAGGCUUAGAUACCCUGGUAGUCCACCCCGUAAACGUUGGGAACUAGUUGUGGGGUCCAUUCCACGGAUUCCGUGACGCAGCUAACGCAUUAAGUUCCCCGCCUGGGGAGUACGGCCGCAA